GAUGAACGCCGGCGGCGUGCUUAACACAUGCAAGUCGAACGGUGAACGAGGGAGCUUGCUCCCUCCGGAUCAGUGGCGAACGGGUGAGUAACACGUGAGCAAGCUGCCCUGGACUCUGGGAUAAGUGUUGGAAACGACGUCUAAUACCGGAUACGAGGCGUGGUGGAAUGCCCAACGACUGGAAAGAACUUCGGUCCAGGAUGAGCUCGCGGCCUAUCAGCUAGUUGGUGAGGUAACGGCUCACCAAGGCGACGACGGGUAGCCGGCCUGAGGGGGUGACCGGCCACACUGGGACUGAGACACGGCCCAGACUCCUACGGGAGGCAGCAGUGGGGAAUAUUGCACAAUGGGCGCAAGCCUGAUGCAGCAACGCCGCGUGAGUGAUGAAGGCCUUAGGGUUGUAAAGCUCUUUUACCAGGGAUGAUAAUGACAGUACCUGGAGAAUAAGCUCCGGCUAACUCCGUGCCAGCCGCCGCUGUAAUAC
rnacentral:rRNA from 1 species